CUACAGAGGGUGCAAGCGUUAAUCGGAUUUACUGGGCGUAAAGCGCGCGUAGGUGGCUAAUUAAGUCAAAUGUGAAAUCCCCGAGCUUAACUUGGGAAUUGCAUUCGAUACUGGUUAGCUAGAGUAUGGGAGAGGAUGGUAGAAUUCCAGGUGUAGCGGUGAAAUGUGUAGAGAUCUGGAGGAAUACCGAUGGCGAAGGCAGCCAUCUGGCCUAAUACUGACACUGAGGUGCGAAAGCAUGGGGAGCAAACAGGAUUAGAUACCCUGGUAGUCCAUGCCGUAAACGAUGUCUACUAGCCGUUGGGGCCCUUGAGGCUUUAGUGGCGCAGCUAACGCGAUAAGUAGACCGCCUGGGGAGUACGGUCGCAAGACUAAAACUCAAAUGAAUUGACGGGG
rnacentral:rRNA from 1 species